AACGAACGCUGGCGGCAGGCCUAACACAUGCAAGUCGAACGGAUCCUUCGGGAUUAGUGGCAGACGGGUGAGUAACGCGUGGGAAGCUACCUUGUGGUAGGGAACAACAGUUGGAAACGACUGCUAAUACCCUAUGAGCCCUAUGGGGGAAAGAUUUAUCGCCAUGAGAUGUGCCCGCGUUAGAUUAGCUAGUUGGUAAGGUAAUGGCUUACCAAGGCGACGAUCUAUAGCUGGUCUGAGAGGAUGAUCAGCCACACUGGGACUGAGACACGGCCCAGACUCCUACGGGAGGCAGCAGUGGGGAAUAUUGGACAAUGGGGGCAACCCUGAUCCAGCCAUGCCGCGUGAGUGAUGACGGCCUUAGGGUUGUAAAGCUCUUUCAGCAGUGAAGAUAAUGACAUUAACUGCAGAAGAAGCCCCGGCUAACUUCGUGCCAGCAGCCGCGGUAAUACGAAGGGGGCUAGCGUUGUUCGGAAUCACUGGGCGUAAAGCGUACGUAGGCGGACUGAUCAGUCAGGGGUGAAAUCCCGGGGCUCAACCCCGGAACUGCCUUUGAUACUGUCAGUCUUGAGAUCGAGAGAGGUGAGUGGAACUCCGAGUGUAGAGGUGAAAUUCGUAGAUAUUCGGAAGAACACCAGUGGCGAAGGCGGCUCACUGGCUCGAUAMCUG
rnacentral:rRNA from 1 species